CGUGCACAGACGUAUCAUCACAUAUCCCAUCCUCUUGAGUCUGGAUUUGUUGAAGACAUGAAGUAUUGCCAAGUAACACUCCUCCUGGCCUUGAUCGUUCUUGCCUCAUCACCAGCCAUGGCGACCAAGUGCCCUCCAGAGUACACCUGCACCAAGUACAUCAACCAGGGCCCAUGUGAUGCCGCCAAGUGCAUGAUGGACUGUGUGAGCGCGUACAAGGGCGCAGGGGAAGGCCAGUGCUUCCCUCAAGGAUGCAGGUGUUCCUACUGCUGCAAGCCGCAUCAACGAACUAUUUAACCGAGCUUGGCCACCACGCCGUUUGGAGACGUGUUGAUGGAUGAUGUGGUGCAAAUUGCAAACUUAACUAGAAUUUGUUUAUUCUGCUUUUUUGAAGUAGUUAUAAGAGACUCUUGUAGCAUGAUCAUCGUUCUAUCUAAUAUGAAGAGUAAUAAUAAAUGGGCAUAUUGUAGGUUA